rnacentral:rRNA from 2 species
GACUCUCGGCAACGGAUAUCUUGGCUCUCGCAUCGAUGAAGAACGUAGCGAAAUGCGAUACCUGGUGUGAAUUGCAGAAUCCCGCGAACCAUCGAGUCUUUGAACGCAAGUUGCGCCCGAGGCCACUCGGCCGAGGGCACGCCUGCCUGGGCGUCA